UCCGCAGUCAUCGAGAUGCUUUCGAAGCGUUAUCGGAAGACGAGUUCAUUGCUACCUUCCGAUUGUCGAAGGAAGCUGCCAGGGAGGUGUGCGAAGCUGUUAGGCCGGACUUGCAGCGCACCCGAGAAUCCCGUCGGACAACUCUGAGCGUAGAGCGGAGAGUCCUCACAGCCCUUCGUUUCUACGCUACUGGAGCUUUCCUUGGAAACAUUGGAAAUGAGGAAACGAUCGCCUGCAGCAAGCGUGCAGUGUCACAGGCUGUCCAUGAAGUUAGCGAAGCCAUCUUAAAGUACCUUGCGCCCAAGUACCUGAGGUUCCCCACAACUCCUGAGGCGAAGCUAGAAGUGAAACGUGGCUUUCAUGAGCUGGCAGGCUUCCCAGGCUGUGUCGGGGCUAUCGACGGUACGCAGGUAGCAAUUUUGCAGCCGAGCAUUUUCGACCCGAGAUUUGUGGAUGGCAAUUACUAUUGCCAUAAAGGCUACCAUUCCAUCAAC